rnacentral:rRNA from 1 species
AGAGUUUGAUCAUGGCUCAGGAUGAACGCACAAGACGCACAUAAUACAUGCAAGUUGAAUGGUGUUAAAACUUUAGGUUUUUUUUACCAUAGCGAACGGGUGAGUAAUACAUAAAAGUCAAAGUUUAGAUUAGAACUAAUAAAAAGAAAUUUUUGGUAAUGUCUAAUUAACGCAUUUAAUAGUGUUUUACAAAGGAUUUUCUAAUAUUAAAUCCGUCUAUACUUGAAUUUAUGUCUGAUUAGCUAGUUGGUAAAGUAUAAGCUUACCAAGGCGAUGAUCAGUAGCUGUCCUGAGAGGGUGGUCAGCCACAUUGGGAUUGAGAUAAGGCCCAAACUCCUACGGGAGGCAGCAGUAGGGAAUUUUCUGCAAUGAGCGUAAGCUUGACAGAGUGACGUCAGGUGGAGGAUGAAAGCCAUUUUUAUGGUUGUAAACUUCUUUUGCCUUAUUUUAUAAAUACUGAUAAUAAGGUUUCAAAAAGCAUCGGCUAACUUCGUGCCAGCAGCCGCGGUAAUACGAGGGAUGCAAGCGUUAUCCGAAAUUACUGGGCGUAAAGCGUCUGUAGGUUGUUUUAUGUGUCUAUAGUUAAAUUAUUUCUUUUAAGGGGAUAGGAUCUAUAGAAACUAUAAAACUAGAGUACAUUAGAGGUAAAAGGAAUUUCUUGAGGAGUGGUGAAAUACGAAGAUACAAGAAAGAAGGCUGUAGGCGAAGGCAUUUUACUGGGUUGUUAAAAUUUUAUACUGACACUAAAGACGAAAGUUAAGGGAGCGAAUGGGAUUAGAUACCCCAGUAGUCUUAACUGUAAACGAUGGAUACUCGGUACUGAUAAAAACAGUGCCCUAGCUAACGCGUUAAGUAUCCCGCCUGAGGAGUACGCUCGCAAGAGUGAAACUCAAAGGAAUUGACGGGGGCUCGCACAAGCGGUGGAGCAUGUGGUUUAAUUCGAUGCAACACGAAAAACCUUACCAGAACUUGACUUGGUGUUUUUUAGAAUAAUUCUAAUAGAUUUUUCCCUUAAACACACAUAGGUGGUGCAUGGCUGUCGUCAGCUCGUGUCGUGAGAUGUUGGGUUAAGUCCCGCAACGAGCGCAACCCUUUUUCAAAGUUUUAAUAAUAUUUACUUUGAAUAUUUUUUAUUCUUAAUAUGGAAGCAAAGGUUUCAAAAGAAUAAUAGGAAGUGAGGAUGACGUCAAGUCAUCAUGCCCUUUAUGUUCUGGGCUACACACGUGCUACAAUGGAUAAUACAAUAGGAAAUUAUUUUAUCGCGAGAAAAGAUUAAACCUGAAAAUUAUCCUUAGUUCGGAUCGUAAACUGCAACUCGUUUACGUGAAGUUGGAAUCGCUAGUAAUCGCCGGUCAGAUAUACGGCGGUGAAUAUGUUCUCGAGCCUUGUACACACUGCCCGUCACGCCAUGGAAGUUAAUUUCCCCCGAAUCCGUUUAAGUAAACGACUAAGGGAAAAUUGAUAACUGGGGUGAAGUCGUAACAAGGUAACCGUA